AGUGAACGCUGGCGGCGUGCCUAAUACAUGCAAGUCGAACGCGAGAGUCCUUCGGGAUGAGUAAAGUGGCGCACGGGUGAGUAAUGCAUGAGAACAUGCCCUUAGAUGGGGAAUAACGUUUGGAAACGAACGCUAAUACCGCAUAAUCUCGAGAGAGUAAAGGUGGCGCCGCAAGGGCUACCGUCUAAGGAUUGGCUCAUGUCCCAUUAGCUAGUUGGCGGGGUAAUGGCCACCAAGGCAACGAUGGGUAUGUGGUCUGAGAGGAUGAUCACACACACUGGAACUGAGACACGGUCCAGACUCCUACGGGAGGCAGCAGUAGGGAAUAUUGCACAAUGGGGGAAACCCUGAUGCAGCAACGCCGCGUGAGUGAAGAAGGCCCUUGGGUCGUAAAGCUCUUUAGCGAGGGAAGAGGGUAGAUACGGUGAAUAAUCGUGUUUGCUGACGGUACCUCGAGAAUAAGCACCGGCUAAUUUCGUGCCAGCAGCCGCCGUAA
rnacentral:rRNA from 1 species